rnacentral:rRNA from 1 species
AGAGUUUGAUCAUGGCUCAGGACGAACGCUGGCGGCGUGCUUAACACAUGCAAGUGGUGCGACGAACCAGGGCUUGCCCUGGGGCAAAGCCGCGAACGGGUGAGUAACACGUGGGUAAUCUGCCCCGAUGACCGGGACAACCCGAGGAAACUCGGGCUAAUACCGGAUGUGGUGCACACACACAAGUGUGUGUAUCAAAGGUAGCUUCGGCCUCCGCAUCGGGAGGAGCCCGCGGCCCAUUAGCUUGUUGGUGAGGUAACGGCUCACCAAGGCGACGAUGGGUAGCUGGUCUGAGAGGACGAUCAGCCACACUGGGACUGAGACACGGCCCAGACUCCUACGGGAGGCAGCAGUGGGGAAUCUUGCGCAAUGCGCGAAAGCGUGACGCAGCAACGCCGCGUGAGGGAAGACGGCCUUCGGGUUGUAAACCUCUUUCAGGAGGGACGAAGGCUCGCCGGUGAAUAGCCGUGCGGGUUGACGGUACCUCCAGAAGAAGCCCCGGCUAACUACGUGCUAGCCGCCGCGGUAAUCAAGGGCGAAUCGUAAGCGCAGUC